rnacentral:rRNA from 1 species
UACGGAGGGUGCAAGCGUUAUCCGGAUUCACUGGGUUUAAAGGGUGCGUAGGUGGGAAUGUAAGUCAGUGGUGAAAUCUCCGUGCUUAACAUGGAAACUGCCAUUGAUACUAUGUUUCUUGAAUUUUCUGGAGGUAAGCGGAAUAUGUCAUGUAGCGGUGAAAUGCUUAGAUAUGACAUAGAACACCAAUUGCGAAGGCAGCUUGCUACAGGAAUAUUGACACUGAGGCACGAAAGCGUGGGGAUCAAACAGG